rnacentral:lncRNA from 1 species
GUUAAACAAGUGCUUGAAGGCAGUAUGCUUGGUAAAAGUCAUCGCCAUUCUCUAAUCUUGAGUACCCAGGGACACGAUACACUGCGGAAGGCUGCAGGGACCUCUGCCCAGGAAAGCCAGGUGGUUUCCAAAAGGAAAAGCUUUGGGAGAUAGAAGUCCUCGUUUUGACCUCUGCCCUCCUUGUACACCAGGAGCCAGAAAAACUUCAUCUCUUUUACAAGAAACAUUGAGAUUCCUGUAAAAUUAAGAAAUCACACAAUUUGAUGGUCUACAUUAUCUAAAGCAAAUGAGACUUCUAUUUGGAACAAAGACUACCUUGUUGGGAAAUGAGUCUGCAAGUUAAAGUGUUUUCUGGAUCCAGUAUCUGCCGGAGGAGCCCCACCUUCUGCUACUAUUAUGUUCUUCAGAUGAGUAGAAGAGAGUGGGGAGGGAGAGAGCAGGAAGAAGAAAGGAAGAAUAAUGUCUUGAAAUUGGUAAAAGCGUUUUUGUUUGCACAUCCUGCAUUAUUAAUAUUUCUUGUUUAGCAUAAUUAGCUACCCUCUCAAGCUUACACACAACCUGCAGUGUUUAUGCCUUCCGAUGAUAGCUAAACCAUCAGCAAAGCAGUCCAGGUCCCUGAAGGCUGAAUGCAGGUGGUUCUGAAGGCUGCAGGAUGCAUUCAAAAAGCAGGAUACAUAAGCUUUAAUUGUUGCUAAAAAUACAUUCACUAGAAGAAUCGGACUCCUUCUAUCUGUCUGGAGUGGAUAAAAGCCAACUAUGGAUUCAGUAGUCUAAAGAAAGUCGCAGAAGAACAAAGAAAAGUUUUCUAAGGAUAAUGGUCUCCAGCUUCGUCAAUGUUCCUGCAAAGGACAUGAUGCUGACUUUGAAGAUGCAAGCUUCCACAUCUACAGCCUCAAGGAAACAAAUUCAGCCAACCAACUGAGGGAGCUUUCCUUGUCCUGCCUCAAGAUGAGAUCACAGUCUGCCCAACACCAUGAUUUAGGCCUUGUGACACCUGGUAUGGAAGACCCAGUUAAGUUCUCUCCAAACUCUUGACCCACAGAACCUGUGAGAAAAUAUAUGGAUAUUAUUUUAAACUGCUAAAUUUGUAGUAAUUUGUUAUGCAGCAAUAAAAAAAACUAAUGCAAGGAGAUAUCAA